rnacentral:rRNA from 1 species
CGUAGGUGCAAGCGUUAAUCGGAAUUACUGGGCGUAAAGCGUGCGCAGGCGGUUCGGAAGAAGAUGUGAAAUCCCAGAGCUUAACUUGGAACUGCAUUUUAACUACCGAGCUAGAGUGUGUCAGAGGGAGGUGGAAUUCCGCGUGUAGCAGUGAAAUGCGUAGAUAUGCGGAGGAACACCGAUGGCGAAGGCAGCCUCCUGGGAUAACACUGACGCUCAUGCACGAAAGCGUGGGAGCAAACAGGAUU